AUCCAAGGCUUCUCCCUUCUCUCAGCCUGCAUCCCACAUGCUUAUUUGUUUUAUCUGGUCUGUUACAGAAGCCAUUGUGUUCACUGGAAGCUGACAUCCGGGACUUGGCAUCCAUUACAGGUCUAACAAAAGACCGUAAUCCAGGCUUUUGAACCGAUCAUCCACACAGCUCUACAUCAGCUGUGCAGGGGUGUAAACCUGCGCCGACCAAGCACAAGGCAGCUAUCCCACCUGUUCCAUCAUUUCCCCACCUUAUGUGCACUCACUCUGAGAACUGCAAGCAAUUACUCUGAAGGGCAUGCUCUUGAAGACUCUGCACCCUGACUGAGUGCCACCAUACUUGCUCUGCUUAAUGGUGAAAAGCUGAAACACUGGCAGCCCCUCCUAACCGAGGCCAUGAGCUUCCAGAUCUCAGCACGGUCUCUCACAUGCAUGCCUGACACAUGUGGCCGAGCUGCUCACAAUGUUAAGGACUUGGUCUCUAGGAUUCAUGUACACAUUGGUGCCUCUGCUAGCACUGGCAGGUCAGCUGCAGUACCCUGUCUGUGGGAGGAAGAUACUUUUCUGGAGGUUUCAUAGCUUGAGAAACCUGGCUGUGUUCUGCAACUCUCUGAAAGCCUGGAAUGACUGUUCCUAACUUAGGAGAGUGCCUGAAGUGUGAGAGGAAUCAAGGAACAAAACACAUGGAUUAACAAUUGCGCACAAUGGAAGCUGGCAGAGAUAUGUGAUAAGAACUUGAAUUACCGUUGUUGCAAAUAUCGUAAACUUUUAAAGUAGAUUCAGCACACACAAAAAGCAUUUUUUCUGAGCAUCUGGAAAUAGUGCGUGUAAUUCUCCUUUUAGUGUUACAUAACUUCACUGCUAGCAAAACCUGGUGAAUAAAAAAUAAAAGUGUUACUAGUGCA
rnacentral:lncRNA from 1 species